rnacentral:rRNA from 1 species
GGGGACAACCACGUGGAAACGGUGGCUAAUACCGGAUAUGCCGAACGGUGCAAGAUUUAUUGCCUAGAGAUGAGCUCGCGUCUGAAGCUAGUUGUGGUGUGGUAAGAGCGCACCAAGGCGACCAUCAGUAGCUGGUCUGAGAGGAUGAUCAGCCCCACUGGGACUGAGACACGGCCCAGACUCCUACGGGAGGCAGCAGUGGGGAAUUUUCCGCAAUGGGCGAAAGCCUGACUGAGCAAUACCGCGUGAGGGAGGAAGGCUCUUGGGUUGUAAACCUCUUUUCUCAGGGAAUAAUAAAGUGAAGGUACCUGAGGAACCUAGAU